rnacentral:rRNA from 1 species
ACCGAAUGAAUUUGAUCGUGGCUCAGGAUUCGUCUUGUUAGCCCUGAUUCGGCGAUCCUAGUGGCGCACGGGUGAGUAACAUGUGGGUAACCUGCCCUAGAGUUCGGGAUACCCCCUCGAAAGGGGGGCUAAUACCGGAUACGGUCCUCGGGUCGAAAGGCCUGGGGAAGAAAGGUAGCGCAAGCUGCCGCUCUUGGAGGGGCUCGCGGCCUAUCAGCUAGUUGGCGGGGUAACGGCCCACCAAGGCUAUGACGGGUAGCUGGUCUGAGAGGACGACCAGUCACACGGGGACUGAGACACGGCCCCGACUCCUACGGGAGGCAGCAGUGGGGAAUUUUCCGCAAUGGGCGAAAGCCUGACGGAGUGACGCCGCGUGUGGGACGAAGGCCUUCGGGUCGUAAACCACUGUCAGUGGGAAAGAUGGGUGUCGGCGUGAAUAGCGCCGAUAUCUGACGGUACCUGCAGAGGAAGCCCCGGCCAACUCUGUGCCAGCAGCCGCGGUAAGACAGAGGGGGCAAGCGUUGCUCGGAAUUACUGGGCGUUAAGGGCGCGUAGGCGGAAAUGGCAAGUCGGUCGUGAAAUCCUUCGGCUCAACCGAAGAAAGUCGAUCGAACUGCCGUUCUUGAGCAUUGCAAAAGAAACUGGAAUUCCCG